rnacentral:rRNA from 1 species
GUUUGACUCGCUCAAUGAAAAUUAAAUAGCCGCGGUAUUUUGACCGUGCAAAGGUAGCAUAAUCAUUAGUCUUUUAAUUGAAGGCUGGAAUGAAUGGUUUAACGAGGAGUUGACUGUCUCUAAUUAAUAUAUUGAAUUUAACUUUUGAGUGAGAAGGCUUAAAUUUAAUUUAAGGACGAGAAGACCCUAUAGAGCUUUUUUAUUUUGUUAAUAUUGAUUAAGACUAUUUUUUUAUUUUGUUUAAUGAUUUGUAUUUUGUUGGGGUGACAGUGAAGAUAAAUAAACCUUUAUUUUUUUUUUCAUUAUUGUAUGUUUUUUGAUCCCGAAUUUUGGAACAUAAGAUUAAGUUACCUUAGGGAUAACAGCGUAAUUAUUUUUGAGAGUUCUUAUUAACAAAAUAGAUUGCAACCUCGAUGUUGGAUUAAGAUAAAGAUUAGGUGCAAUGGCUUAAUUGUUAGGUCUGUUCGACCUUUAAAUUCUU